rnacentral:pre_miRNA from 1 species
CAAGUACUCCCUCCAUCCGGAAUUACUUGUCAUCAAAAUGGAUGUGUCUAGAACUAAAAUACAUGUAGAUACAUCCAUUCCAAUGACAAGUAUUUCCGGACGGAGGGAGUACAAG